rnacentral:sRNA from 1 species
UUUUAGCCCUGAUGGAGUGGAAAUCCUUGUCUCGUUUUUUUUUUUUUAACGAGACAAGAUUAAAGCGACAGCAGGAAGAAAC